rnacentral:lncRNA from 1 species
UUUUAAAAUAAUUUAAACUAAUAAUAAAUAAACUUGCUAAGAAAUUUAAAUACAAAAUACACUAAACAUGGAUAAUUUAAAUAGAAGGAUGGCCUUCCUGUAAAUUAAAUAUAACUUACAGCCAAAAUAAGAUGAAACUGAGCUUUAUGAUCUAAAAGGAAGUAGAAGCAAAGAAAAGAAGCUCCAACUCCUAACUUCUGAAUUAUCACUUCUGAAGCUCCAAAAAAGCGGCUGGCUUUUUUUCCCAAACGCUGACCCGACUUCUAUUUUGGACUUCUACUUCUUUUAAGCUCUUACUUCUCAAUCCCAAACAGCCACAUAAUCAUUCCUUUUACAAGCACGAUUUUGUAGAUAUCGGAGAUGGGUCUGU